rnacentral:rRNA from 1 species
UACGUAGGGACCAAGCGUUGUUCGGAUUUACUGGGCGUAAAGGGCGCGUAGGCGGCGUGGUAAGUCACUUGUGAAAUCUCUGAGCUUAACUCAGAACGGCCAAGUGAUACUGCUGUGCUAGAGUGCAGAAGGGGCAAUCGGAAUUCUUGGUGUAGCGGUGAAAUGCGUAGAUAUCAAGAGGAACACCUGAGGUGAAGACGGGUUGCUGGGCUGACACUGACGCUGAUGCGCGAAGGCGUGGGGAGCGAACGGG